GGAGGAGGAGGAGGAGGAGGAGGGACUCGGCGGGAGGAUGGGCUUGCUCUCAAUUUUGCGCAAGUUGAAAAGUGCACCAGACCAGGAGGUGAGAAUACUUCUCCUGGGCUUGGAUAAUGCUGGCAAGACCACUCUUCUGAAGCAGCUUGCAUCUGAAGAUAUCAGCCACAUCACACCUACCCAGGGUUUCAACAUCAAAAGUGUACAAUCACAAGGUUUUAAACUGAAUGUCUGGGACAUCGGUGGACAGAGGAAAAUCAGACCAUACUGGAGGAAUAAUUUUGAAAAUACCGAUAUUCUUAUAUAUGUAAUCGACAGUGCAGACAGAAAAAGAUUUGAAGAGACGGGUCAGGAACUAGCGGAAUUAUUGGAGGAAGAAAAACUAAGUUGUGUGCCAGUGCUCAUCUUUGCUAAUAAGCAGGAUUUGCUCACAGCAGCUCCUGCCUCUGAAAUUGCAGAAGGACUGAACCUGCAUACCAUCCGAGACCGAGUCUGGCAGAUCCAGUCUUGCUCAGCUCUCACAGGAGAGGGCGUUCAGGAUGGCAUGAACUGGGUCUGCAAAAAUGUCAAUGCAAAGAAGAAAUAAAAUCUAGACGAAUGGAGACGCGGGAGCUGCGGGAGCCGAAUUCGGUCCUGAAAAACACUAAUUUGCUGCUUUCUGACCAAAUGUUUUUCCAUCUGUGUACAGCUACAGCUGUUUGAAGGGAGGGAACAACACAGUUUAGAAAGAAUCCCCAUUCCAGCAGUAGAUUUAACUGAUCUCUGAGGUUCACUAUCCUUUUUCAAAUAAAGGAAUUAUAUUAUUUCCUCUGCA